GCCUUUAUAGCUCAGUGGCAGAGCAUUGCACUUGUAGCGAGGAUCUCGUUCCGACCUACAGGUGAUGCAAAGGUCCGUCGUUCAAUCCGGCGUGGAGGCA
rfam:Microdochium bolleyi strain J235TASD1 unplaced genomic scaffold Micbo1qcscaffold_8, whole genome shotgun sequence.